UUUCUGUGUUGACUCUGGGGGUUGUUCUUUAUGUGUGUGUGUGUCGCGGGAUUGUGAUUGUGUAUGUUGUGUCUGUGUGUGUCCUUUGUUGAGAGACUCAGAGACAAAGCCACAUACAGAAAGAGACAGACACAUUGAAAGAGAGAGAGACAGAGAGAGAGAGAGAGAUGUGGGUUUGCCCAAGAGAUAUGUGCCCCUGACACUGAAAAAUGACCAAAGUGUACAUUCUCAAAAAUCUCUGCAUACUGCACACUUGAAGGAAUACUGCUGAGUGUGGCUCAGCAGUAACAGUCCCUACAGGUAACCAGAGCCUCCAUAUGCUCUGGCCCAUGUUCAUAUCAAGGAACAGUCCCUGAGUUAUUCUUGAGCAGCACCAACAAGGUACUGAUGUGUAUUCUGUGUCCUUCUAGGUGUCCCUAAGGAGAAAAAGCUGCUGGCCAUUCCUGAAAGGAGGCAGCAGGCUGUUGCUGAGGUAGCCGCAGGAGCAAGGGAAAAAGGU